CUGUAAGCCUGUGAAGGUGGCCUGUGAGGGUUGCUGGAGGUAUCAGAAGUGCGAAUGCUGACAUAAGUAACGAUAAAGCGGGUGAAAAGCCCGCUCGCCGGAAGACCAAGGGUUCCUGUCCAACGUUAAUCGGGGCAGGGUGAGUCGACCCCUAAGGCGAGGCCGAAAGGCGUAGUCGAUGGGAAACGGGUUAAUAUUCCCGUACUUGGUGUUACUGCGAAGGGGGGACGGAGAAGGCUAUGUUGGCCGGGCGACGGUUGUCCCGGUUUAAGCGUGUAGGUGUGUGUUCCAGGUAAAUCCGGUUCACUUUAACACUGAGGCGUGAUGACGAGGCACUACGGUGCUGAAGCAACAAAUGCCCUGCUUCCAGGAAAAGCCUCUAAGCAUCAGGUAACAUCAAAUCGUACCCCAAACCGACACAGGUGGUCAGGUAGAGAAUACCAAGGCGCUUGAGAGAACUCGGGUGAAGGAACUAGGCAAAAUGGUGCCGUAACUUCGGGAGAAGGCACGCUGACACGUAGGUGAAGUGAUUUACUCAUGGAGCUGAAGUCAGUCGAAGAUACCAGCUGGCUGCAACUGUUUAUUAAAAACACAGCACUGUGCAAACACGAAAGUGGACGUAUACGGUGUGACGCCUGCCCGGUGCCGGAAGGUUAAUUGAUGGGGUCAGCGCAAGCGAAGCUCCUGAUCGAAGCCCCGGUAAACGGCGGCCGUAACUAUAACGGUCCUAAGGUAGCGAAAUUCCUUGUCGGGUAAGUUCCGACCUGCACGAAUGGCGUAAUGAUGGCCAGGCUGUCUCCACCCGAGACUCAGUGAAAUUGAACUCGCUGUGAAGAUGCAGUGUACCCGCGGCAAGACGGAAAGACCCCGUGAACCUUUACUAUAGCUUGACACUGAACAUUGAGCCUUGAUGUGUAGGAUAGGUGGGAGGCUUUGAAGUGUGGACGCCAGUCUGCAUGGAGCCGGCCUUGAAAUACCACCCUUUAAUGUUUGAUGUUCUAACGUGGACCCGUGAUCCGGGUUGCGGACAGUGUCUGGUGGGUAGUUUGACUGGGGCGGUCUCCUCCUAAAGAGUAACGGAGGAGCACGAAGGUUGGCUAAUCCUGGUCGGACAUCAGGAGGUUAGUGCAAUGGCAUAAGCCAGCUUGACUGCGAGCGUGACGGCGCGAGCAGGUGCGAAAGCAGGUCAUAGUGAUCCGGUGGUUCUGAAUGGAAGGGCCAUCGCUCAACGGAUAAAAGGUACUCCGGGGAUAACAGGCUGAUACCGCCCAAGAGUUCAUAUCGACGGCGGUGUUUGGCACCUCGAUGUCGGCUCAUCACAUCCUGGGGCUGAAGUAGGUCCCAAGGGUAUGGCUGUUCGCCAUUUAAAGUGGUACGCGAGCUGGGUUUAGAACGUCGUGAGACAGUUCGGUCCCUAUCUGCCGUGGGCGCUGGAGAACUGAGGGGGGCUGCUCCUAGUACGAGAGGACCGGAGUGGACGCAUCACUGGUGUUCGGGUUGUCAUGCCAAUGGCACUGCCCGGUAGCUAAAUGCGGAAGAGAUAAGUGCUGAAAGCAUCUAAGCACGAAACUUGCCCCGAGAUGAGUUCUCCCUGAGACUUUAGGUCUCCUGAAGGAACGUUGAAGACGACGACGUUGAUAGGCCGGGUGUGUAAGCGCAGCGAUGCGUUGAGCUAACCGGUACUAAUGAACCGUGAGGCUUAACCUUACA
rnacentral:rRNA from 1 species